rnacentral:rRNA from 1 species
AUUGAACGCUGGCGGCAGGCCUAACACAUGCAAGUCGAACGAGUGGCGGACGGGUGAGUAAUGUCUGGGAAACUGCCUGAUGGAGGGGGAUAACUACUGGAAACGGUAGCUAAUACCGCAUACCAUCAGAUGUGCCCAGAUGUGAUUAGCUUGUUGGUGGGGGAACGGCUCACCAAGGCGACGAUCCCUACCGGGUCUGGGAGAAUGACCAGCCACUCUGGAACGGAGACAAGGUCCAGACUCCUACGGGAGGCAGCAGUGGGGAAUAUUGCACAAUGGGCACAAGCCUGAUGCAUCCAUGCCGCUUUGAUGAAGAAGGCCUUCGGGUUGUAAAGUACUUUCAGCGGGGAGGCGUUACCCGCAGAAGAAGCACCGGCUAACUCCGUGCCAGCAGCCGCGGUAAUUC